rnacentral:rRNA from 1 species
UUGACGUAGACCCGAAACCGGGCGACCUACCCAUGAGCAGGAUGAAGCGAAAGUAAAAUUUCGUGGAGGUCCGAACCCACGAGCGUUGAAAAGCUCGGGGAUGACUUGUGGGUAGCGGUGAAAUUCCAAUCGAGCCCGGAGAUAGCUGGUUCUCCCCGAAAUAGCUUUAGGGCUAGCCUCAAGGUGAGAGAUACGGAGGUAGAGCACUGAAUGUCCUAGGGGGUAUUGCACCUACCGAAGACUAUCAAACUCCGAAUGCCGUCAUCUUAUACUUGGGAGUCAGACUGUGGGUGAUAAGAUUCAUAGUCGAAAGGGCAACAGCCCAGAUCGUCAGCUAAGGUCCCUAAAUGUAAGUUAAGUGGUAAAGGAUGUGGGAUUGCACAGACAACCAGGAUGUUGGCUUAGAAGCAGCCACUCAUUCAAAGAGUGCGUAAUAGCUCACUGGUCGAGUGAUCCUGCGCCGAAGAUUUCCGGGGCUAAAACUUACUACCGAAGCUACGGCAUCAGUAAUGAUGGGUAGGGGAGCUUCCCAUACGGGUUGAAGCAUGACCGUAAGGACAUGUGGACAGUAUGGGAGUGAGAAUGUUGGCAUGAGUAGCGAGAUGUGGGUGAGAAUCCCACAGGCCGUAAACCCAAGGUUUCCAGGGGAAGGUUCGUCCGCCCUGGGUUAGUCGGGACCUAAGCUGAGGCCGAAAGGCGUAGGUGAUGGACAACAGGUUGAUAUUCCUGUACUACCGAUAACCGUUUGAGAGAAGGGAUGACACAGUAGGAUAAGCUAAGCACACUGUUGGUUAUGUGUGCCCAAGCAUUGAGGCAGUCAAAGUAGGCAAAUCCGCUUUGAUAAUGCUGGGAUGUGAUGGGGAGCGAAAUUUAGUAGCGAAGUAGCUGAUUUCACACUGUCAAGAAAAGUCUCUAUCGAGGUUAAAGGUACCCGUACCGCAAACCGACACAGGUGGGUGAGGAGAGUAUCCUAAGGCCAGCGAGAGAACUGUUGUUAAGGAACUCGGCAAAAUGACCCCGUAACUUAGGGAUAAGGGGUGCCACCAUCAGGUGGCCGCAGAGAAUAGGCCCAAGCGACUGUUUACCAAAAACAUAGGUUUCUGCUAAGUCGCAAGACGAUGUAUAGGAGCUGACGCCUGCCCGGUGCUGGAAGGUUAAGGGGAUCUGUUAGAGCAAUCGAAGCAGUGAACUUAAGCCCCAGUAAACGGCGGCCGUAACUAUAACGGUCCUAAGGUAGCGAAAUUCCUUGUCGGGUAAGUUCCGACCCGCACGAAAGGCGUAACGAUUUGGGCACUGUCUCAACAACAGACUCGGUGAAAUUGUAAUUCCGGUGAAGAUGCCGGAUACCUGCGACAGGACGGAAAGACCCCAUGGAGCUUUACUGUAGCUUGACAUUGGGUCUUGGUACUACAUGUACAGGAUAGGUGGGAGGCUUUGAAACCAGGACGCCAGUUUUGGCGGAGCCAUCCUUGGGAUACCACCCUUGUAGUACUGGGACUCUAACCAUAGGCCAUGAAUCUGGUCUUGGGACACUGUCAGGUGGGCAGUUUGACUGGGGCGGUCGCCUCCCAAAAGGUAACGGAGGCGCUCAAAGGUUCUCUCAGUACGGUCGGAAAUCGUACGUAGAGUGUAAAGGCAAAAGAGAGCUUGAUUGCAAGACAUACAGGUCGAGCAAGGAUGAAAAUCGGACUUAGUGAUCCGGUGGUUCUGCGUGGAAGGGCCAUCGCUCAACGGAUAAAAGCUACCCUGGGGAUAACAGGCUUAUCUCCCCCAAGAGUCCACAUCGACGGGGAGGUUUGGCACCUCGAUGUCGGCUCAUCACAUCCUGGGGCUGUAGUAGGUCCCAAGGGUUGGGCUGUUCGCCCAUUAAAGUGGUACGCGAGCUGGGUUCAGAACGUCGUG